rnacentral:rRNA from 1 species
UAUCAAUAAGCGGAGCAAAAGGGUCCCUGCAUAGCACUAAGCGGAACAAAAGGGUCCUUGCUUUGCAAUUAUAGNCUGCGCAGUCAUAUGGGUUCCUUGCGAACAGGACGUCACAAUACAGGUGAGAAUCCCGUGCGAUGAGGAGUCCAAUUCUAUGUAAAGUUCCUUCGAAGAGUCGAGUUGUUUGGGAAUGCAGCUCUAAGUGGGUGGUAAAUUCCAUCUAAAGCUAAAUAUUGGCGAGAGACCGAUAGCGAACAAGUACAGUGAUGGAAAGAUGAAAAGAACUUUGAAAAGAGAGUGAAAAAGUACGUGAAAUUGUUGAAAGGGAAGGGCUUUUGAUCAGACUUGGUGUUUAGUACUCUCUGCUCCUUGUGGGUGGGGCUCUUGCUUUAUACUGGGCCAGCAUCGGUUUUGAUGGCAGGAUAAUGACUUUGGAACGUGGCUUCAUUCGUGAAGUGUUAUAGCCUUUGUUGAUACUGCCUAUCGGGACCGAGGACUGCGUCUUUGACUAGGAUGCUGGCGUAAUGAUUUAAAGCCC